AGUGGGGAAUAUUGCACAAUGGAGGAAACUCUUAUGCAGCAACGCCGCGUGGAGGAUGACACAUUUCGGUGCGUAAACUCCUUUUAUAUGGGAAGAUAAUGACGGUACCAUAUGAAUAAGCACCGGCUAACUCCGUGCCAGCAGCCGCGGUAAUACGGAGGGUGCAAGCGUUACUCGGAAUCACUGGGCGUAAAGCGCGCGCAGGCGGCUUGAUAAGUUGGAUGUGAAAGCCUACGGCUCAACCGUAGAACUGCAUCCAAAACUGUCAAGCUAGAGUGUGGGAGAGGAAGAUGGAAUUAGUUGUGUAGGGGUAAAAUCCGUAGAGAUAACUAGGAAUACCAAAAGCGAAGGCAAUCUUCUGGAACACUACUGACGCUGAGGCGCGAAGGCGUGGGGAGCAAACAGGAUUAGAUACCCUGGUAGUCCACGCAGUAAACGAUGAAUGUUAGUCGUCGGAGGCCUAGUGUCUUCGGUGAUGCAGCUAACGCAUUAAACAUUCCGCCUGGGGAGUACGGUCGCAAGAUUAAAACUCAAAGGAAUAGACGGGGACCCGCACAAGUGGUGGAGCAUGUGGUUUAAUUCGAAGAUACGCGAAGAACCUUACCUAGCCUUGACAUAUAUUAGAAUCCACCAGAGAUGGAGGAGUGCCUUCGGGAGCUUUUAUACAGGUGCUGCACGGCUGUCGUCAGCUCGUGUCGUGAGAUGUUGGGUUAAGUCCCGCAACGAGCGCAACCCUCGUCACUAGUUACUAACGGUUCGGCCGAGGACUCUAGUGAGACUGCCUUCGUAAGGAGGAGGAAGGUGAGGACGACGUCAAGUCAUCAUGGCCCUUACGGCUAGGGCAACACACGUGCUACAAUGGCCAGGACAGUGAGACGCGAUACCGCGAGGUGGAGCAAAUCUAUAAACCUGGUCUCAGUUCGGAUUGUAGUCUGCAACUCGACUACAUGAAGCUGGAAUCACUAGUAAUCGUAGAUCAGCUAUGCUACGGUGAAUACGU
rnacentral:rRNA from 1 species